rfam:Picea glauca, whole genome shotgun sequence.
AUGUACAUUCCUACAACAUAGAGUUAAUGCACCAGAUCCCAUUAAAACUCCAUAGUUAAGCGCACUCAGGCUAGAGUAGUAUUGUGAUGGGUGACCGCCCAUGAAGUCCUAGUGUUUUACAUG